CUGAUGCAGCCAUGCCGCGUGUGUGAGAAGGCCUUCGGGUUGUAAAGCACUUUCAGCGAGGAGGAAAGGUUGACGGUUAAUACCCGUCAGCUGUGACGUUACUCGCAGAAGAAGCACCGGCUAACUCCGUGCCAGCAGCCGCGGUAAUA
rnacentral:rRNA from 1 species